GGGCAAAUGAUGAUAACAUAAAUAUCUUAGCGGAUUUCAGUGAGAUUUUCGAGUCAAUGAUCUGAUUGUUACACACACUGAAGCCC
rfam:Populus trichocarpa isolate Nisqually-1 chromosome 7, whole genome shotgun sequence.